GAGCACGUUCGUCCUAAAUACGCCCCUGGCAACUCCUGAUACCUUUCUUUCAGUAAUAAAUAGUAGGAGGGACCAUAUUCAUAUAUGUUUAAUAUACAGAAUCUUUGUUUCAGCACGGAAAAAUCCUGGAACGGAAAAAAUUCAACAAAGGAUACAAAUUCUGUUUAAUAUGUCAGAAAUGCCAGCUUCCUUCAUCUUGGCUGUUGCCUACAAAUUAAACUACACAUUAGACAAAAUCAACCCAAGGAAUACCAUAUAGAAGCUGACUGAUACAAAAUAACAUCAUGUGCUCCUCAAUAGCUCAGACACCACUACACACUUAGCAUUCUGCAGAUGCUUCUUUGACCAAGCAUACCUCUCUGGAAAUAAAGAACUUCUUGGUUAGGAGCAUUUUAUCCUAUAGUAAUAAAGCUAAUUAUCGGGGAGGAAUCCGAAUUAGUGGGCUAGUUGAAUUUCAUAUAACGGAUGUCUAAAGCAAAAAAGAAAAAAGAAUAGCUAGAUUACGUAUAGAGGCACAAAUUACCAGCAAGAUCUGUGAAUUAAGUUAGGUCGAUCGGUAUUUGUAUAGAUCAAGAUGGGCUUAAGCUGUUGUGCUCUUAAUAGAAAAUGCACUCCAGAAAUAUAUUUGUCCACCAAUAAUCUCUCAAGAGUUAUAACAGUUGGACUGCAUUAGGUGCUACACAGUUUUGGGAAGCAUAACAGUAUUUAUUACACGUACUAUAUAGAAGGUAAAAUCUGAGGAAUUAAAGAACAAAUAGAUUUAGAAGUUCUCCUCAUAUCUAAAACAUGAAUAGAAAUAUAUAUAUAUAUAUAUAUAUAUUUCUAUUUGCUUCUGGCCAGGAUGGACCAAGAUUGCAAACAGGACCUACUGCAACUCAUCUCAAACUUUAUGUCACGUGAAAAAUAAAAGAAAAUAGCUAAUUCUUGAAGGUUCUGACGUGGAACAUGUUAAGACCGAAAAAAUCAUGUUUCACGUGGAAGCUAGUAAAACAACAUUCAAACGGCGAUAAAACAGACAAUAAAAGAGAAAUACCAAAAGAGACACAAAUAUUUAAUGUGGUUCGGUCAAUUGACAUACGUCCACAGAUGGAGAUGAGCAAUCCACUAUAUAAAAGAGAGUACAAAAUAUCGAGAAAACAACCUCACGAAGAAGCAAAUACAAGUAACACACUAACACUUGUCCCGUAAAGUUUUCCCCCUAAACAAGACUCUCAAACUCCAUAUGGCUACAUUGUGGAUGCUACUGAAUGAGAAUGACGUAUCCUCAAUUUAUAGAACUCCAAACAUUUUCCUACAAGAAAAGGGACUAGCCAAAUAUGGAAGAAUUAAUAUUUUUCUUCUAGGAAAAGAAAAACUCAAUUAUAGUAAAUAUGUUGUUAUUUCCUUAAUGAAAUAGGAAAAUCAAUUAUGGUAAGAAAAUCAGGAUAAACAACUAAGCGAACAAACAAAAAAUAUCUGGGCUAAAUUACCGCAUUAUAUAAUUGAUGGAAUGAUAAAUGAUCACUUAUUACUAAGAAAUUGAAUUUAAGUUAUAUGCAUGGAACGAACUUUUUACAUUAUAAGUGUAGUUUAACUUAUUAUAAUAUGUUACUUAUUAUUUAUUUUAGGUCUUCAACUAAUGCUAUUAAACAAAAUCACUUACAAUUACUUUUUAAAUAAUCUGAUUGUAUAAAUAUUUUUUAAUUGUUGACGCGUAGAAUCUAAAUUUGAAAUUGAAUUUAAUGAAAGUAGACAAGUAUAGUAUAUUAGAGAUCUCAGAAAAUAUUCUUUUCAAAAUUCACGUUAAACAUCUUAAUAGUAUUUCAUCAUCUCAAAAGACUUAUUUUUACUAAUUAUACAUUUUUUCCAUAUAAAAUCGCUACUGGAAUUAAAGCAAAUAAAACAAAACUUAAACACAUAUUAAUUAAAAGGACAUCAAUUUACUAACAAACUGCAUAUUCAUUAAGUAAAAUAUCCAGUUGCUAGGGAUUAAAAAAGAAAUUUAUCGAUAAAAAAUAAUUAUUUCACCUUUCGUGAUGCCUCACUAAUUGGUAUGGUUCUCUAUUUUCUCUUCAAUUUCUUUCUUUGUAUUAAAUGAAAUAGCAGCUACUACCACCUUCAAGCAGAUAAAGUCCAAGAGCUCCAUGUAGCACGGUGACCUCUCUUUCUUGCAAUUUUCUUCCAUUAUCAUGUUCUGUUCUUUUUUUUUUCUCGUAGAAAGAAAGAAAAAGAUUUGUAUUUGUGUAUGCAUAGAAAGAAAACAAAAUGAAAAAUCAGAGGCAUGAAAUUGAUCAUAUGAUCUAUCUUAACUUCACUAUCCCAUAGGUAUAAACUCAAAAAAUAAAGCCAGUAAAGAAGUAGGAGGGAUGUGUGAGAGCCACUAAUUUUAUAGGCUGCUGUAAUUAAAUUUAAAUACAGUUGAUAAAGCUAUGAGAAUUAAUGGGAAAGGAUCAUGGUAGCACAAAUAAGGAAAAUAAAGGAGUAGUUACUCUUAAACAUGUGAAACGGAACAAUAGUAAUAAUGAGGAAUUUUUGCAAAUAAAGGAGUAAUUACUCUUAAACAAUAGUAAUAAUGAGGAAUUUUAAAAAAAGAAGGAUAGUGAAAGCAAAUUGGAUAUUAAUAUUAAAUAAGGAAAGAAAUUAAUGAAACACAUUUAAGGAAGAGAUGAAUAGGGUAUCUUUAUUUUCUGUAAUAAUAUUUUUAAGGGAAACUAAGAGAAAAAUG
rnacentral:lncRNA from 1 species